rnacentral:rRNA from 1 species
UACGGAGGAUGCAAGCGUUAUCCGGAAUGAUUGGGCGUAAAGCGUCCGCAGGUGGCAAUGUAAGUCUGCUGUUAAAGAGUCUAGCUCAACUAGAUAAAAGCAGUGGAAACUACAUAGCUAGAGUACGUUCGGGGCAGAGGGAAUUCCUGGUGUAGCGGUGAAAUGCGUAGAGAUCAGGAAGAACACCAGUGGCGAAGGCGGCAUCCUGGACCGGCAUUGACGCUGAGGCGCGAAAGCCAGGGGAGCAAACGGG